AGUGUCUUCAUUGUUUUAAUCUUCCUCUUUAACAUUCUUUGAAUCUUUAGUGAUUUUUAAGUAGGUAGACCCUUUUUUACAUUCAUUGCUACCUUGAACUGAUCCCAAGGCAAUAUCUUUGGUAGUCACACAUUAAAGAGACCCAAAUGGUAUGCAAUAGACACACACAUUAAAUGAACUUAAGUGGUAAUUUUAGAUGUCUUGAAACAUAUUUUGGUUUAAUUUUCUCUCAUUUUCAUACAUUUGCUGAUAAAGAACUUAUAUAUACUUUC
rnacentral:lncRNA from 1 species